ACACAGCUGAAGAGUCCCACAACAGGACGAAACGGCCUUUCAGUGC
rnacentral:hammerhead_ribozyme from 1 species